rnacentral:rRNA from 1 species
AUUGAACGCUGGCGGCAUGCUUUACACAUGCAAGUCGAACGGCAGCGCGGGCUUCGGCCUGGCGGCGAGUGGCGAACGGGUGAGUAAUGCAUUGGAACGUGCCCAGUAGUGGGGGAUAGCCCGGCGAAAGCCGGAUUAAUACCGCAUACGGCCUGAGGGUGAAAGCGGGGGACCGAAAGGCCUCGCGCUAUUGGAGCGGCCGAUGUCGGAUUAGCUAGUUGGUGGGGUAAAGGCUUACCAAGGCGACGAUCCGUAGCUGGUCUGAGAGGACGACCAGCCACACUGGGACUGAGACACGGCCCAGACUCCUACGGGAGGCAGCAGUGGGGAAUUUUGGACAAUGGGGGCAACCCUGAUCCAGCCAUGCCGCGUGCGGGAAGAAGGCCUUCGGGUUGUAAACCGCUUUUGUUCGGGAAGAAAUCCUCUGGGCUAAUACCCCGGGGGGAUGACGGUACCGGAAGAAUAAGCACCGGCUAACUACGUG